AGAGUUUGAUCCUGGCUCAGAGCGAACGCUGGCGGCAGGCUUAACACAUGCAAGUCGAGCGGGCGUAGCAAUACGUCAGCGGCAGACGGGUGAGUAACGCGUGGGAACGUACCUUUUGGUUCGGAACAACACAGGGAAACUUGUGCUAAUACCGGAUAAGCCCUUACGGGGAAAGAUUUAUCGCCGAAAGAUCGGCCCGCGUCUGAUUAGCUAGUUGGUGAGGUAACGGCUCACCAAGGCGACGAUCAGUAGCUGGUCUGAGAGGAUGAUCAGCCACAUUGGGACUGAGACACGGCCCAAACUCCUACGGGAGGCAGCAGUGGGGAAUAUUGGACAAUGGGCGCAAGCCUGAUCCAGCCAUGCCGCGUGAGUGAUGAAGGCCCUAGGGUUGUAAAGCUCUUUUGUGCGGGAAGAUAAUGACGGUACCGCAAGAAUAAGCCCCGGCUAACUUCGUGCCAGCAGCCGCGGUAAUACGAAGGGGGCUAGCGUUGCUCGGAAUCACUGGGCGUAAAGGGUGCGUAGGCGGGUCUUUAAGUCAGGGGUGAAAUCCUGGAGCUCAACUCCAGAACUGCCUUUUGAUACUGAGGAUCUUGAGUUCGGGAGAGGUGAGUGGAACUGCGAGUGUAGAGGUGAAAUUCGUAGAUAUUCGCAAGAACACCAGUGGCGAAGGCGGCUCACUGGCCCGAUACUGACGCUGAGGCACGAAAGCGUGGGGAGCAAACAGGAUUAGAUACCCUAGUAGUCC
rnacentral:rRNA from 1 species